AUGGCUCAGUUGGUAAAGUUCUUGCCUUGCAAGCAUGAGGACCUGAGUUCAGCUCUCAGU
rnacentral:tRNA from 1 species